rnacentral:lncRNA from 1 species
ACCAAGUGAAGUGGGGAUGGGAUGAUGAUGGCCAAUUCCGGGAAAGAGGUGUGAAUUUAGAGUCCGCAAGUUAAAACAAAAAAGUACCAUGCAUACCAAAGCCUUCGUUCUUAGUCCGCUCCCAGUUCGUUCAUUCCACCAACCUUUAGAAAAAGAGCAUGCAUCAAAUAAAAUAAAAUACAGCUGAUGUUUGAGAUCACCUUUCCCAU